rnacentral:pre_miRNA from 1 species
UUGAGUGCAAAUUAGUUUAUGUUUGGAUACACUCGCUUAAAAGUGAUUCUUAUGGGUUGAUCUUGCUUGAAUAA